rnacentral:rRNA from 1 species
CAAUAGCAUAUAUUAACGUUGUUGCAGUUGAAAAGCUCGUAGUUGAACUUUUGGUAGGAGCGACCUGGCCUUGGGCGCAUGCCCUUGUUUGCCGUGUGUCGUAUCUGGCCAUCCUUUUCCGUUUCGGCGGGAAUCUUUUACUGUGAGUAAACUGGAGUGCUCAAAACAAGACGUUUGUUUGGUACAUUAAAGCAUGGAAUAAUAAGAUAGGACCUGGUUACUAUUUUGUUGGUUUGCAUAGCUAGGUAAUGAUUAACAGGGACAGUUGGGGGUAUUCGUAUUUAAUUGUCAGAGGUGAAAUUCUUGGAUUUAUGAAAGACGAACGACUGCGAAAGCAUUUACCUAGGAUGUUUNCAUUAA